UACGUAGGAGGCGAGCGUUGUUCGGAUUUACUGGGCGUAAAGGGCGCGUAGGCGGUCAGCACAAGUCAGUUGUGAAAUCUCCGGGCUUAACUCGGAAAGGUCAACUGAUACUGUGCGACUAGAGUGCAGAAGGGGCAACUGGAAUUCUCGGUGUAGCGGUGAAAUGCGUAGAUAUCGAGAGGAACACCUGCGGCGAAGGCGGGUUGCUGGGCUGACACUGACGCUGAUGCGCGAAAGCCAGGGGAGCGAACGGG
rnacentral:rRNA from 1 species